UUGCCGGAAGGGGCGGGGUUGCUGCCUCGGCGAGAGAGAGCCGCGUGGCGGGCGGCCGCGCUUGUUCUAGCGGGGGGAGGGAAGCGACGUUUCCUCUGCGCCGGAGAACGGGCCCCGUCGCGCUCCCACCAACGGGGCUAAAUUCUUCCGGCGCUCUGCUUGGCGCGCGCUCCCGCCUGGCCGAGGCCCGCCUGCCUUUCUGGCCGGCGCGUGGGUGCUCCCCGCCCCACGGUCCGGGCGCGGGAGGCUGAGAGGGGAACAUGGCGCCAGGGGAGGGGGGGCGCUGGUGGCGUGGCCAGCGGCGGGGGCGGAGGAGGCCGCCGCCUUUCGGGUAACGUGGCUUAUUGCGUCCCUGCAGGUGGAGGUGGAGGUGGGGCCGGGGCCGGGCCGCAGCGGAGCCGCCGCCGAUGGGAGCGGGAUGCAGCAGGGACCUAGCAGACUUGAGAUCCAGAGCAACCAUCUGUUGCCAGGACAAACAUUCCUAAGUUGUGAUGACUUUGAAGAAGGUGGGGUAAACAACACAGCCAGACUUGUAGAAACUUGAAGUAAAACAAGUUUGCUCAAGGGCCAUUU